rnacentral:rRNA from 1 species
UACGGAGGGUGCGAGCGUUGUCCGGAUUUAUUGGGUUUAAAGGGUGCGUAGGUGGGUUAAUAAGUCAGUGGUGAAAUACGGUUGCUCAACAAUCGAGGUGCCAUUGAUACUGUUAAUCUUGAAACAAGUGGAGGUUGCCGGAAUGGAUGGUGUAGCGGUGAAAAUGCAUAGAUAUCAUCCAGAACACCGAUUGCGAAAGGCAGGUGACUACGUUUUUGAUUUUGACACUGAGGCACGAAAAGCAUGGGGGAGCAAAAC